GGCAGUGUUUUGACGACUGCCUCACUAAAGGAAGCUAAAAGCUGUGCUGAUGCCUCCCAGACGAGCCUCGUUGGAAGCACAGAACCUUCACGGCUCGGAGCCGCUGACACCGUGACAAAGGGAGCCCUGCUCAGGAGAAAGAGCAAAUGAGAGGCAGUUGCACUUUUUCAGGUGUCAGGCUGGAGGAAGCCACUUGAAGAUGAAUCUACCUCUGCCUUAGGAUUGCCUGAUGGCCUGUGCCAUUCCAUGUUAUAUCUACUGAUUUGCUCCCUGUAUUCAAAGAUUUUUUUUUUUUACUUAAUUCUCUCUUACUGACCCUGAGAGUGACCAUAUUUUUAACCAAUUUGGUCUUCAGCCUCAAAACUUAGCUCUUUCCUUUUGUGGUCCCCGAAUCCUAUCACGUGUCAUGGUGGCUGUGAAGAUGUUUGCCAAGCCUGCUGAGAAGGCUCAUCUGUGGCAUCCAAAAGCAGAGAUUUCAACUCUGGACCCCUGUGACCUGCCUUUGUAAUUAUGGAUACCCAGCACUGUUUUGAAAUAUCAGUGGACAUCCAGUUUUUAAAAGCCCUCAGAGCUUUGGGAGACACCCCUUUAUCUCUCUGGCAUGUCAGAGAACCGAUUCAACCCUUCUCAUCUCCUCCUCCUUCCCUCUCUUGGGCCAUCAGGAUGCGGCAGCAACUCACUGUGCAUGUUUUUACAGCUCUUCUCCAGUAAUGCUGCCAUUUCCACUGCAGACCACAGGAUAAAAGGACCGCUUCACCGUGGCCCAGGAUACCCUUUUAAGUAGGAGAGAGGAUUAUUGGCAACUGGCACCACCCCCAUGUCUGGAGGAGGGACGUUUCUAGGAUGACCCCCAGAGUGGAGAAAUAGCCGAGUGCUUUGGAGUCUUCUCAGAUGUGGACGAAAACAGUUCGUGAGCUGCGCUGAGCAGUUCCGGAGCCCUGGCUCCCUUUCCCCGGGGCCUAAGCCCCCAAGAAGAGAGUCUUUUUCAGGACCAUGGGAGCAGGUUUUAAAAGGCUUUCUAUUGAAGCGAGGCCGUCAGCCAGCCGUGCGUGUCCGCAUUGUGGUGGUCCCAGAGCCUUAUGGACAAUCCUUUGAAAGAAUAGGGUUGGGAAGAUUCUCAGGACAGAAGCGGCUAAUUUCCAUCCUUGGAGCUUUAUCUCACAAAGGAUAUUUGAUAGAAAGAAAAAAUGGAGUCUGUGGAAGCUUUGCUCCUAUUUCCAAAUGGGUUGACUCUGGAUGCAAAGGAAUAUUUUCACAUUUUUCCCAAUAGAGGAAAGCUUUUAGUGCCAAAAUCCUCAAAGGAGAAUGAACAUCACACAUUACACAUGUAUGUAUAAGGGUAGAAUAAUAUGGUACAAAAUCCAGUGAGUACAAGCACACAAUGGGCAUUCAGUACAGGUUAAAUGAAUAUGCAAGAAAAAUUCAAAGUUGUUGUUGCUGUUUAUAAGGGUGGUGAUUAUUAAUAGAUGCAAAUGUAUACUCCCUUUUGUAAUCACAGCAAGGUAAAAGUCUUAUCUCUGAUCAUUACCAUGAGGACACUUAAAUAUUUAGCCCUGGGGACAAAAUGGUUUGUAGGCAGGACGUCCUGUGUGUUUAUGCACACAUAAAAUGCCGCCCUGGCCCCAGGACUGCAAGGCCUCUGACUGCAUCAUUUACAUUCAGGGGUGGUCCUGAUCAACAUGGCCCCAUAGAAUAAUAGAGGGAAUUUCAGAUAGUACAGCGUUAGAUAAUAAGCGCUUUCCACUGACUCUGUUUACAUGUGGAAAUUAGAAGCGCUGAGUGAAAAAGAGUAGUGAAAAUAAAGACAGGAAGUAUAUACACAACAAACAAUUUUUCCUCUCUGCAAAUCGGAUUAUUCCCUUGCGCACCCCCUGCAAC
ensembl:lncRNA SILC1 sciatic injury induced lincRNA upregulator of SOX11